rnacentral:rRNA from 1 species
UACGUAGGGUGCAAGCGUUAAUCGGAAUUACUGGGCGUAAAGCGUGCGCAGGCGGUUGUGCAAGACCGAUGUGAAAUCCCCGGGCUUAACCUGGGAAUGGCAUUGGUGACUGCACGGCUAGAGUGUGUCAGAGGGGGGUAGAAUUCCACGUGUAGCAGUGAAAAUGCGUAGAGAUGUGGAGGAAUACCGAUGGCGAAGGCAGCCCCCUGGGAUAACACUGACGCUCA